UACGAAGGGGGCUAGCGUUGUUCGGAAUUACUGGGCGUAAAGCGCGUGUAGGCGGGUCUUUAAGGCGGGGGUGAAAUGCCAAGGCUCAACCUUGGAACUGCCUUUGAUACUGGAGACCUUGAGUCCGGGAGAGGUGAGUGGAAUUGCGAGUGUAGAGGUGAAAUUCGUAGAUAUUCGCAAGAACACCAGUGGCGAAGGCGGCUCACUGGCCCGGAACUGACGCUGAGACGCGAAAGCGUGGGGAGCAAACAGG
rnacentral:rRNA from 1 species